CAGUGGCGAACGGGUGAGUAACACGUGGGCAAUCUGCCCUGCACUCUGGGACAAGCCCUGGAAACGGGGUCUAAUACCGGAUAUUACUGUCGCAGGCAUCUGUGAUGGUGGAAAGCUCCGGCGGUGCAGGAUGAGCCCGCGGCCUAUCAGCUUGUUGGUGGGGUGAUGGCCUACCAAGGCGACGACGGGUAGCCGGCCUGAGAGGGCGACCGGCCACACUGGGACUGAGACACGGCCCAGACUCCUACGGGAGGCAGCAGUGGGGAAUAUUGCACAAUGGGCGAAAGCCUGAUGCAGCGACGCCGCGUGAGGGAUGACGGCCUUCGGGUUGUAAACCUCUUUCAGCAGGGAAGAAGCGAAAGUGACGGUACCUGCAGAAGAAGCACCGGCUAACUACGUGCCAGCAGCCGCGGUAAUACGUAGGGUGCGAGCGUUGUCCGGAAUUAUUGGGCGUAAAGAGCUCGUAGGCGGCUUGUCGCGUCGGAUGUGAAAGCCCGGGGCUUAACUCCGGGUCUGCAUUCGAUACGGGCAGGCUAGAGUUCGGUAGGGGAGAUCGGAAUUCCU
rnacentral:rRNA from 1 species